rnacentral:rRNA from 1 species
AUUGAACGCUGGCGGCAGGCCUAACACAUGCAAGUCGAGCGGAUGAAGGGAGCUUGCUCCUGGAUUCAGCGGCGGACGGGUGAGUAAUGCCUAGGAAUCUGCCUGGUAGUGGGGGAUAACGUCCGGAAACGGGCGCUAAUACCGCAUACGUCCUGAGGGAGAAAGUGGGGGAUCUUCGGACCCCACGCUAUCAGAUGAGCCUAGGUCGGAUUAGCUAGUUGGUGGGGUAAAGGCCUACCAAGGCGACGAUCCGUAACUGGUCUGAGAGGAUGAUCAGUCACACUGGAACUGAGACACGGUCCAGACUCCUACGGGAGGCAGUAGUGGGGAAUACUGGACAAUGGGCGAAAGCCUGAUCCAGCCAUGCCGCGUGUGUGAAGAAGGUCUUCGGAUUGUAAAGCACUUUAAGUUGGGAGGAAGGGCAGUAAGUUAAUACCUUGCUGUUUUGACGUUACCAACAGAAUAAGCACCGGCUAACUUCGUG